rnacentral:rRNA from 1 species
AACGAACGCUGGCGGCAUGCCUAACACAUGCAAGUCGAACGAGAUCCUUCGGGGUCUAGUGGCGCACGGGUGCGUAACGCGUGGGAAUCUGCCCUUGGGUCCGGAAUAACAGUUAGAAAUGACUGCUAAUACCGGAUGAUGACGUAAGUCCAAAGAUUUAUCGCCCGAGGAUGAGCCCGCGUAGGAUUAGCUAGUUGGUGGGGUAAAGGCCUACCAAGGCGACGAUCCUUAGCUGGUCUGAGAGGAUGAUCAGCCACACUGGGACUGAGACACGGCCCAGACUCCUACGGGAGGCAGCAGUGGGGAAUAUUGGACAAUGGGCGAAAGCCUGAUCCAGCAAUGCCGCGUGAGUGAUGAAGGCCUUAGGGUUGUAAAGCUCUUUUACCCGGGAUGAUAAUGACAGUACCGGGAGAAUAAGCUCCGGCUAACUCCGUGCCAGCAGCCGCCGUAA